UCUCCGUUGGUGAACCAGCGGAGGGAUCAUUACCGAGUUUACAACUCCCAAACCCCUGUGAACAUACCUAUCGUUGCCUCGGCGGUGCCCGCUCCGGCGGCCCGCCAGAGGACCCCCAAACUCUUGUUUUAUACAGUAUCUUCUGAGUAACACGAUUAAAUAAAUCAAAACUUCCAACAACGGAUCUCUUGGUUCUG
rnacentral:misc_RNA from 1 species